rnacentral:rRNA from 1 species
AUUGAACGCUAGCGGGAUGCCUUACACAUGCAAGUCGAACGGCAGCGCGGACUUCGGUCUGGCGGCGAGUGGCGAACGGGUGAGUAAUGUAUCGGAACGUGCCCAGUAGCGGGGGACAACCACUCGAAAGAGUGGCUAAUACCGCAUACGCCCUACGGGGAAAGGGGGGGAUCGCAAGACCUCUCACUAUUGGAGCGGCCGAUAUCGGAUUAGCUAGUUGGUGGGGUAAAGGCCUACCAAGGCGACGAUCCGUAGCUGGUUUGAGGGGACGACCAGCCACACUGGGACUGAGACACGGCCCAGACUCCUACGGGAGGCAGCAGUGGGGAAUUUUGGACAAUGGGGGAAACCCUGAUCCAGCCAUUCCGCGUGUGCGAUGAAGGCC